rnacentral:rRNA from 1 species
UACAGAGGGGGCGAGCGUUGUUCGGAAUUACUGGGCGUAAAGGGCGCGUAGGCGGCCUUCUAAGUCGAACGUGAAAUCCCCGGGCUCAACCCGGGAACUGCGUCCGAUACUGGUUGGCUUGAAUCCGGGAGAGGGAUGUGGAAUUCCAGGUGUAGCGGUGAAAUGCGUAGAUAUCUGGAGGAACACCGGUGGCGAAGGCGACAUCCUGGACCGGUAUUGACGCUGAGGCGCGAAAGCCAGGGGAGCAAACGGG